AACUGACAGAAGUAAUGUGGCGGUUCACGCUCUCAUUGCCUGUAUAGGCUGAUGGCCCACUCCCCGGUUUAGCCGAGCUCCUUACCUGUCCAGCCAGAAAGUUGCCAUUGGGUUGUUUUUCAGAAACCUGGACCCCCGCUGAAUGGAUCUGCUAGCAUCUAGACCUCAGAGAAGGGGGAACUGAAGACUGAACUCUGACCACUGUUCUUUGUCGAAAAUUUCUUCCUGAGGGGCCUGGAGGGAGUAACAUCCAGGAUCCUGAGCUAACAUUGUUUUCUGCUGACCUGAAAAUUUAAACUAAGCUUCUCUUUCUUAACCCAUUGCAAAUCAGAAAAAUCUUUGAAUCUACCUAUAACUAUGGCUGACAUGAUGGUCUGUGACCUGAAGGUUGUCAAAUAGUGGAGUGUCGUGAUUCACAUGGAAGAGGCUAAAAGAUGUUUGGUGAAGCACUAUGGGCGGCCCUGGAAGAGGACUGAAGAUGCAGCUUCAGAACAAAGCCUUCCCUCUUCCUAAAAGAAAACUCCAUGUACUGCCUUUUCAAGCUGCUGUGAAUGCUUUGAAUUCACACUGACUGCUGAGCUUAUGCUCCACCUGACCACACUGCCUAGGAGGGAGGGGGUGACCUGCCACCUGCACUUUCCUGCAGAAUGCCUACAGAUGCUGUCCAUACUCAUGAAGCUGAUGUCAUAGAUAAAUAAAACUGUUUGGAACUGACUGUCUCAGGCAGUGCCUCUGAAACCAAGGACUGAACUGCCUUAUUUGGACUAGACUGAGCACCUGCAGUGAGAGGGCCCACAGUAAAAGGCCACAGAUUGUUGAUGGGAGACUUAAGCUUGUUCUAUGCAACUCCACUGGUGAAGACUCUUGGAAUCUUGCAGCUGUUAUUCCCCAUACUUUGCCCACAUGCCUUUUCCCUUUGCAGACUUUGUUUUGUAUCGUUUCAUUGUAAUAAAUCUUAGUUUUGAGUAUGCCUAUGUGCAGAGUAUUGUCAGUCCUUUUACUGGAUAAUCAAAACUGGGAAUGGUCUUGGGGUCCUAAACACAGAGGUGUACUUGGCUACUGCAGCUAUGCAGCUUCAAAGAAAACUGCUUAAAACUAUACACAGAAAAAGGAAGUCUUGCUCACUGGGCAGAGUUGUGAGUUAUGGUGCUUGCUCUAAAAGUGCCUUCCAAAAUGUACCUUGUUAUAUUUUCAUUGACUGAUGACAUUAGCCAAUGAGUAGGCAUUACAGUCUGGUGCCUGUAGCAGAAAAGCUGGAUGAUCAAGUCUCAAGCUUUGUGGGGACA